rnacentral:rRNA from 1 species
UUGAAAAAUAAUUAUUUAAAAAGAAAAUUUUAUUUAUUGUACCUUGUGUAUCAGGGUUUAUCAAAUAAUUAAUAAUUAUUUUAUUAAUCUCGAUUUUAUAAGAGUUAAUUAUUUAUUAAAGUUAAUGUAUCAAAAUUAUUUUAAAUAGAUAAUUAGAAAUGAAAUGUUAUUCGUUUAUAAAGGUAUCUAGUUUUUUUAGAAAUAAAUUUAAUUUACAAAUUUUUAAUUUUUUAUUUAUUUAUUUAAUUAAAAAAAUUAUUAAUUUGAAUAUUUUAAGGGAUAAGCUUUAAAAUAAAUUAUUAAAAAUUAAUAAAUUAAAUAUAAAAUGUAUGAAUAGAAUUUUCAAUCAUUUAUGAGUUUGUUAUAAAUUAUUUUAUAACUUAUAUUAUUUAUUAUAAUUUUAAAUUUUUAUAAAAAUUUUUUCAUAAAUUUUUUAUGAAAAUAAAUAAUGAUAAAAUUAGUAUAUUAAUAUUGUACAUAUAAUUUUAUAUGACAAGUUUAUAUAAAGAACUCGGCAAAUUUAUAUACUCGCCCUGUUUAACAAAAACAUGUCUUUUUGAGUUAUUUUUAAAGUCUGACCUGCCCACUGAAUAAAUUUAAAUGGCCGCAGUAUUUUAACUGUGCAAAGGUAGCAUAAUCAUUAGUUUUUUAAUUGAAGGCUGGUAUGAAUGGUUGGACGAAGUAUAAACUGUUUCAUGUAAAUUUAUUAUAGAAUUUUAUAUUUUAGUUAAAAAGCUAAAAUUUAAUUAAAAGACGAGAAGACCCUAUAAAUCUUUAUAUUUAUUAUUAUUUUAAUUUUUUAGAUAUAUUUUAUUUUAAUAAUAUUAAAUAUUUUGUUGGGGUGAUGUUAAAAUUUAAUAAACUUUUAAUUAUUAAAAUCAUUAAUUUAUGAUUUAUUGAUCCGUUAAUAACGAUUAUAAGAUUAAGUUACUUUAGGGAUAACAGCGUAAUUUUUUUGGAGAGUUCUUAUCGAUAAAAAAGUUUGCGACCUCGAUGUUGGAUUAAGAUAUAUUUUUAGGUGUA